AUGACGUCGAAGAUGUCGAUUGCAGCCGACGGCAGGCGUGCAACAGGCGUGGCGUGUUCCGAGUGGGGGCGUGCGAGCGCACCCACUGGGUGUAGCCUCCGGGCAACUUGGAAAAGUUGGGCGGAGGGUCUUGUUGUUGAUGAUGAAGCCGAUGGUGACGUCGAGGGCGUCGGGCGCGGACACGGGAUCCGCCGGCUGAUGGGCGCGGGGCCCUGCCAGACACGGACACGGAGUCCGCCGGCUGAUGGGGGCGCGGGGCCCUGCCUGGCGCGGACGUGGAGUCUGCCGGCUGAGUGGGGGCGCGCGAGCGCACCCACUGGAUGUAGCCUCCGAGCCUCUGGGCAACUUGGAAAAGUUGCGCGGAGGGUCUUGUUGUUGAUGAAGCGGACGGUGGCAUCGGAAACGCUAGUUGCAGCCGGCGCCGGGCGUGCAACCCGCGUGUAG
rnacentral:rRNA from 1 species